rnacentral:rRNA from 1 species
UACGUAGGGGGCAAGCGUUGUCCGGAUUUAUUGGGCGUAAAGAGCUCGUAGGCGGUUUGGUAAGUCGGAUGUGAAAUCUCCAGGCUCAACCUGGAGGGGUCAUUCGAUACUGCCAUGACUAGAGUUCGGUAGGGGAGUGUGGAAUUCCUGGUGUAGCGGUGAAAUGCGCAGAUAUCAGGAAGAACACCAAUGGCGAAAGCAGCUCUCUGGGACGGUACUGACGCUGAGACGCGAAAGCGUGGGGAGCGAACAGG